GACAGAGGGUGCAAACGUUGUUCGGAAUUACUGGGCGUAAAGCGCGUGUAGGCGGCUAAGUAAGUCGGGCGUGAAAUCCCACGGCUCAACCGUGGAAGUGCACUCGAAACUGCAUAGCUAGAGUCCUGGAGAGGAAGGUGGAAUGCUUGGUGUAGAGGUGAAAUUCGUAGAUAUCAAGCGGAACACCGGUGGCGAAGGCGGCCUUCUGGACAGUGACUGACGCUGAGACGGCGAAAGCGU
rnacentral:rRNA from 1 species